rnacentral:rRNA from 1 species
UUGAACGCUGGCGGCAUGCCUAACACAUGCAAGUCGCACGCGAAAGGGGGCAACCCCGAGUAGAGUGGCGGACGGGUGCGUAACGCGUAGGAAUAUACCUGGUAGUGGGGGACAACCCGGCGAAAGCCGGGCUAAUACCGCAUACGAUCUACGGAUGAAAGCAGGGGACCGCAAGGCCUUGCGCUAUCAGAUUAGCCUGCGUCGGAUUAGCUAGUUGGUGAGGUAAUGGCUCACCAAGGCAACGAUCCGUAGCUGGUUUGAGAGAACGACCAGCCACACUGGGACUGAGACACGGCCCAGACUCCUACGGGAGGCAGCAGUGGGGAAUAUUGGACAAUGGGGGCAACCCUGAUCCAGCAAUGCCGCGUGUGUGAAGAAGGCCUUCGGGUUGUAAAGCACUUUCGAUGGGGAAAAACAAGUCAGACCUAACACGUCUGGCCCUGAUGGUACCCAGAGAAGAAGCACCGGCUAACUCUGU